UACCAAGGAAACAAUUUAAUUAACAGAACUAAUAAUACAAUCGAAAUAAAUUACAUGGAAAAUUAAUUAGCAACUGAACAAUACUAAGAAAUAAUUUUAUUAAUUCAAGUUGACUCGAAGAAAUUUCGAGUUUCAAUUGUGAAAGAAGCUUCAGCUAUAGUAUCUAAUCACUUGAGAAACUGACCGGUUGAAACGCUAUGGACAUGAAUCGGUCAAGUUUCAUUUAUUCCUACGAUAUGCACAAAGACAACACCAAUUGUCCUAUGAAAAAUUCAACAGACACGUGCGGCACACGGUCGUUGUAUCUCGCGAUCUAAAGGCUGAAUAUCAUAUUCACGGGUACUGGUAGUAUCAACUGAAAGAAUGAAAUUUGUCAAACGAAGAAUAAUUUUUCUACGGUGUUUAAGAAAUUAAUUCGACUACCAUGCAAUCCAUAUUGGACACAUCUUCUAGGAUAUACAAGCAAAUAAAGGACAUUCAAACGAUUCCAGAGAGUCGGAUGAAAAAUUAGGACAGUAGACCAUCCAGAAUAAAGAUUAAAAUUGGAAAUCACAGCUGUCUUUCUUAAUUGAAAAAUCAAUUUAGCGUUUGUGUCCUCGUUAAAACGGUCAUGCCACGGGGAGCAAUACCAACCAGUGAAAAUGACUGCUUUUACCGAGGGAGAGAUUAAUGAUGUAACGUGACCCUGUUCGCUUGUAGGAUGACUCAGAAUUCAUACCCGGGGAACGAUGUUCUUCGAAACAACGGCAUAGUUCCGAGCUUCGUCCGGUUGCGGAUACACGUGCGCACCUCACGUGAUUUCAUAAACUUACAUAAAACUUGCAUAUUAACGACUUUGCACAACUUUCUUUCUAAAGUUGCAUCUUUGUUGCGUCAAUUCCAAGAAAGGAAUAACAACUGUUAUGACUUUUGUAAGAUUGCUCCUCUUUGUAUUGACAAGAGUUGUGAAUGGAUAUUACAUAAGACAAAAGUUCGUCGUGUGGAAACGUCAUACAGUUCUUGGACAUCGUGGGUGUAGAAGGAUACCAAACUAACAGCUCAUUAAGGGAAUGGCUGUUAGAUCUUUAGAGGAGCAAUCUCGUUUCUUAUAGAACUUUGACACGCUACCUUGCUCGAAGGCUACUGCAACCACUUUUUAUCUACUCGACGAGUCUCUUAUGUGUCCUGUCAGCUACUAUCGUGCCAUUAUCAGCGAGCACUGACUAUUUCUAUUUAUGGUUCCUGUGGCAGAGCUAUUUAUUAUUCUAAAAAUAGAUUUAUCAUUAUAUGUUAUUUGGAAAAAUUUCUCCUACUCUUGGUUUACAUAAAAUGCUUUUCAAUAUCAUAUUAUAAAUAGAAAAUGAUAGAUAGAUAAAUGGAAUAAAAAGAGAAUAAUAUUAAUCCAAUUUUUAGAAACUUCUUUCUAUGAAGCUCAUUUUGAUUUUGUCUCAACAAACCAGUCUAAUACUCGUUUGAUAGACUUUCCUUUUUUAAAAGUUAUUCACAUAUAAUAAUCCAAUAGCGUGAAAUUGGAGGCAACAUCGGAAGCCAAAGUGUUCUUCUUUUCGCAUUUCGUACGUUUUUACUACAACAUUUUAACUUCGAUCAGGAAAGAGAUACGAUUUAUUCCAGCUGCGUGUGAAUCACCUUGUAUAUUGAUAAAGUUUGGCUGUCAAACUCUGGAAUAUAUAGAAUAAAACCAAUCGAGACAAAAGAGAGGCAUCGACGGAGAAGACGGAGAGAGAUCAUCGAUAAUUUGACAAGAUUCUAAGAGCUUGCGUCGAUAUUACGAAUCAUCGAGAUAGGCCGAGUCCGACUGGUGAACUUGACCUUCACCUCGAGCGCGGCUACCUUCGAUCGAACUUCCAUGCUUGGUAGGCCGGGAAUUCCCCGAAAGAAGGUUAAUAGAACCUUCUUCAGUGGCACGUGUGUGAUGCCACAAUAAGAUGGAGUGCGAGACCGAGGUUGCCGUGAGUAGCGUGACUGUGGUCGUCCGGUGGAUUCGUUGAGGAGGAGCGAUUCGCGUGCAGCCCGCCCGAAAAUCGGCCCUCCUCUCCAUCGAUCCUCCCUUCGUCCCUGUUCGUAAUUCGUCUUAACUCCAGGCACCGAUCGAUCCUGCUACAAUUCGGCCCAAUGGUGAAAGCAUUCGGCGAAUCCCGCGUGAGUCAUCUCGUUUGUUCGUUUUCGCGAUGACCUUGCUGGAUAAACACCCAUGCAAUGCAACGCGAGGACUACUUAUUGUUAGCCAGCUGGCAAUAAGUGAUUUUCAUCGAAGUUUAAUCCUCCAUACCGAUUAUAACACGCGAACGUAAACUACUAGGUGACCAAUGAAAUAGGACGACUCAUGCUCGUUUGCGGUAUACGGGUAUACGAUACUAUACAUUAUCAACAACUGUAACAAACAACAACUUUGUAAUUCGACAGCUCUGUACCUGAGAUUGCUGUUAUUAGAUUCCUGGUAUACACACCUCUUAGUGUUCUAGGAUAUUCUAGGAUUUUCAUAGUCGUUUCUGUUUGUAAAUAUCCUAAACUUUGUGUAUUACGAUACAAGGUUUCUUUUGUUUUUGUCCUAUUGCUAUUUGUCUUUUCUCUUUGAUCGUCUUGUUCCUAUUGCUAGUGUGUUUCUUUUUCUUGAAGUGUUCUUUUAUUACUGAAAUUUUUUCUAUCUAAUGCUCUCUUGUGCACAUCUCUUUUAUUAUUGAAAUUUCCUUUCUUUGUAUUCUUAAGCCGCUUCUUGUUGUUGGAAUUUCUCAAAUUUUUUAAACGAUCGUUGUGUUGUUUCUUCCACAGGAAUUCCUUUCAAUGAACUUGCGACUUUUAUUACGAGAAUUUCUUUUCUUUGCAUUCUUGUAUAUUUUUUUAUACCCCUACUAUAUCUUUUGUGGCUUGCACAUACAGUUUUCCUUUUUGCUGGAAUCUUUUUGCUUUCAAAGUUGAAAUCCUCUCUGACAAGAUUGCGUAGAAAAUUUCCUAAAACUCAAUGUCAUAAUGGAAAACUAUACUCUAGCAAUGUGUCGUCUAAGAGAAAUCCAGAAGCAUAACAGAAUGGUGACAGCCCAUGAAGCGACUAAAACCGAAACGUUCGCAAUAGUAUCAAUAAUUGCUAGGAAUGAUUUAGAAGAAAGUAACCACCAGUGACUGAUCACCGGUGAUCAGAUGAAAGUUAUUCACAGAAAUGAAUCGUCCAAGAGGUAUUUUAGACAGAUUCAAAGAAUGCUAUGAACGUAAUAUUAAUUGAAACAUUUAACAAAAUAAAUUUUAAGCACGUAGAAGUCUAUGGGAUUUAGAGUAGUAUCAACGUACACUUUACUGCCUGACCAGUUUUGGACGUCACUACUUGAACGAGAUCAAUGCGUGACUAAGUAUCACGCUGCAUCAGGUUGACCUAUGUCAUUACAAAAUUUUUAUUGCCAAGGAUGACAAGAAAGGUCGCUAUUUUAGAUUUAACAAAAACGAAAGCAGAGAUCUGACUCAUUCGCAAUAUACAUUACGUAGGUAUUCAAUACCAGAAAGAACAUUUAACGAAUUGAAACUAUCAGCUGGUCGAUAAGUUACAAGAAAAGAAAAAGAAUUAUUCUCGUCGAGGUGCUACUCAACGAUAAUUACUUGUCGCAUCGCCCCAUCGAUUUCGAAUCGAAUAAAGAGAACUCUACAAGGAGAUAUCACUUUUUCUCCGUGUUGAGUGGCCGCCUAUAGGCAAAUAAAUCGACUAAUUAGUAGUCACUCGACCUAAAACAACGCUGUAUCUGUGGUUGUUUAACGCAUUAUCAUGAGACAUUACACAGUUUGGCAUGAUGGAAAACAGAAAACCGUAUAAAUAUCCCGAGGCUGCACGCAAGACGACGGAAAAAAGCCUUGUUUCUCUGGACGUGCUAUGUGUUACAGGCUUUUCAAAAAUAAACCUGCACCACGUGCAACCUUGAUCCUGUGCACGCAACAGUGCAUACACAUGUGACACGUAAGCGUAACAUCGCCAUACGCACAUGCACUACUAUCUACAGGAUCGCAUAGCAUCGAUGCAUAAUAUUAUCGGUCGAUUUAUGGGCAACCUUAAUUAAUUUAUCAUCCGAUUUCUGAUUUUCCAAUUUACGGUCUUGUAUCGUGCAAUUCGUCCAUCAUAAUCCAUCUUCGGCUCUAAUUGCUAUAACGAGUAUAAUCUUAACAUCAAAAUUUUUAACCGAGUUAACAAUGAAUUAAAACUAUAAUAUAUAUAGCAGUAAUAGUAUUAUCAAUCAACGGUAACGAACUUUGAAGAAGAAAGUUAAAUGAGGGGUUUUUCUGCAUACUGAUAACAAACAGCACAGAAUCCAUAAUUCCCGUGUGUCUAUGACUCCACGAUAGACAUUGGAGGUAGGCUACCAGGGAACAUGGAACUAAAGAGAAAGAGAGUAGCAGGGAGAGAGAUAGAGAGGGAGAGGGAGAGAGCGAGAGAGAGAGUGAGAGAGGAGGCGGGGGUGAAGUGAAGUCAUAAAAGUAGGGCAGUAGUGCGGUAGAGCAAUCAAUAGAGGCCGGAUCAUGGUGGGGGAUAGGGGGCAUUAAGCCACCGUGGAAUUUUGGCAUUCCAGAGGAGGGAAUAUUUUGACUUUUAAAUAGAAAAAAAAACAAUUUUCAACAAUGUUAUUUUAUUUUGAUCAAAUUUAUAUUCCCUUGACAUUUACUAUCUUCCAGUUAUCAAAAAACAUCUAUAUACCUUCAGUAUAAGAAAAAAUCUCAUAGAUAUUAUUUUGAAUGUCUGCAUUUUUUUUGAAAAAGAAGUGUAGUGAUAAGAAAUAUUGUUUAAGAAAACGAAUAGAAUGCUUGACAUCUAAGAGAAGUACGGAAUGCCAAACCACGUGUUACCUUCCCGCGAAAAUGAUCGAGUAUCACGAAUACAUGAUUAGGCGUAUGUUUCAAUGUAGCAGUGCCUCAUUUAUCGGUCUUAAAUCGAAAUAUUCGUGAAAUUGUAUUAAAUAUCAUAGUUAAUAGCAAUAAUUUGAAUAGAAGUGUUAAUAAAUCUUUAUAAUAAAUAUUGCUUUGUUGAAUUUAUUUUUAUAUCGAGUCUUAUCUCUUUUCUAUGAUUAGAAGAUCGAUGAGAAAAUAUCAAAGAACCUAAUAUCUGUCACUAAGUUAACAAACAAAUGACUGACGAUACAUUGCAUUCUCAAUUUCGAUUGUUUUUUUUUCUAUUGUUUGCAAAAGAUACAUUAUAAAUUAAUAUUAUAAAUACUAUACAUGUGAUAAUGCGUUGAAUACCUGUCGAUGAUAUGUGCCAUUCGUAAAAACGAUUCAUAAUAUUAUGUGUGAUGUGCAAAGAGGUUAUGAUGCGCGAAAGAACAUCAAAAUGAGGGAUACAUACAAGGUACUUCGAUAACGAAGCACGACAUGAAAUUGUCAAACGAUUUAAUACAUAACCGCAAUAUUUUUAUUCUAAAAUGUAUACAAAUUGAUGGCAUAAUUCAGCGGAGACACCUAGUGGAUUUUAUAAAAUGUUUCUCACCGAUUAAGGUGUACGAAAAUGAUCGUGAAAAAGAAUUCUCUACCUAGGACGCGUCAUAUAUUAUCAAUUGGCAUACGAUGAAUGAUGCGGAGCAUUGAUUAACGAAUAAA